ACCAGAAUGAUGUAAUUGGUAAACAUACUGUAUUUAGGUUGCAGUUUCUGGGGGUUCAAGUCCUCUUUCUGGUA
rnacentral:tRNA from 1 species